GAUGAACGCUAGCGGCAGGCUUAACACAUGCAAGUCGAGGGGUAGGUUACUUCGGUAAUUGAGACCGGCGCACGGGUGCGUAACGCGUAUACAAUCUACCUUUUACAGAGGGAUAGCCCAGAGAAAAUUUGGAUUAAAUACCUCAUAGUAUUUUUGAAUCGCAUGAUUUGAUUAUUAAAGUUCCAACGGUAAAAGAUGAGUAUGCGUCCCAUUAGCUAGAUGGUAAGGUAACGGCUUACCAUGGCUACGAUGGUAGGGGUCCUGAGAGGGAGAUCCCCCACACUGGUACUGAGACACGGACCAGACUCCUACGGGAGGCAGCAGUGA
rnacentral:rRNA from 1 species